AGAGUUUGAUCCUGGCUCAGAACGAACGCUGGCGGCAGGCCUAACACAUGCAAGUCGAACGAAGGGCCGGUGCUUGCACCGGAUUCCUUAGUGGCAGACGGGAGAGUAACGCGUGGGAAUUUGCCCGGUAGUACGGAAUAACUGCGGGAAACUGCAGCUAAUACCGUAUACGCCCCGAGGGGGAAAGAUUUAUCGCUAUCGGAUAAGCCCGCGUCCUAUCAGGUUGUUGGUGGGGUAAUGGCCUACCAAGCCGAUGACGGGUAGCUGGUCUGAGAGGAUGACCAGCCAGAGGGGGACUGAGAACGGCCCCCACUCCUACGGGAGGCAGCAGCAGGGAAUCUUGGGCAAUGGGCGAAAGCCUGACCCAGCGACGUCGCGUGGGGGACGAAGGCCUUCGGGUUGUAAACCCCUUUUCCGAGGGAAGAGAAAGGACGGUACCUCGGGAAUAAGCCCCGGCUAACUACGUGCCAGCAGCCGCGGUAAUACGUAGGGGGCAAGCGUUACCCGGAAUCACUGGGCGUAAAGUGCGCGUAGGCGGUUGGAUAAGUCUCUUGUGAAAGCUCCCGGCUCAACUGGGAGAGGUCAAGGGAUACUAUUUGACUAGAGGACAGCAGAGGUAAGCAGAAUUCCCGGUGUAGCGGUGGAAUGCGUAGAUAUCGGGAGGAACACCAGUGGCGAAAGCGGCUUACUGGGCUGUAUCUGACGCUGAGGCGCGAGAGCGUGGGGAGCAAACUGGAUUAGAUACCCAGGUAGUCCACGCCCUAAACGAUGGAUACUAGGUAUGGGGGGUAUUGACCCCCUCCGUGCCGUAGCUAACGCGUUAAGUAUCCCGCCUGGGGACUACGGCCGCAAGGCUAAAACUCAAAGGAAUUGACGGGGGCCCGCACAAGCGGUGGAGCGUGUGGUUUAAUUCGAUGCUAAGCGAAGAACCUUACCUGGGCUUGACAUGUUGGUAGUAGGAACCCGAAAGGGUAACGACCUCGGGGUAACUCGGGGAGCCUUCACAGGUGCUGCAUGGCUGUCGUCAGCUCGUG
rnacentral:rRNA from 1 species